rnacentral:tRNA from 1 species
GGAGCAUAGCUCAGUGGUAGAGCACAUGUUUAGCAUGCACGAGGUCCUGGGUUCAACACCCAGUACCUCCA